CACACGACUCUCGGCAACGGAUAUCUGGCUCUCGCAUCGAUGAAGAACGUAGCGAAAUGCGAUACCUGGUGUGAAUUGCAGAAUCCCGCGAACCAUCGAGUCUUUGAACGCAAGUUGCGCCCGAGGCCUUUUGGMCGAGGGCACGCCUGCCUGGGCGUCACGC
rnacentral:rRNA from 1 species